rnacentral:tRNA from 1 species
GGAUUUUAGCUCAGUGAUAGAGCACUUGUCUCGCAUGCAUGAGGCACUGGGUUCAAUCCUCAGCACCA